rnacentral:rRNA from 2 species
GCAGUCGAGCGGACAGAAGGGAGCUUGCUCCCGGAUGUUAGCGGCGGACGGGUGAGUAACACGUGGGUAACCUGCCUGUAAGACUGGGAUAACUCCGGGAAACCGGAGCUAAUACCGGAUAGUUCCUUGAACCGCAUGGUUCAAGGAUGAAAGACGGUUUCGGCUGUCACUUACAGAUGGACCCGCGGCGCAUUAGCUAGUUGGUGAGGUAACGGCUCACCAAGGCGACGAUGCGUAGCCGACCUGAGAGGGUGAUCGGCCACACUGGGACUGAGACACGGCCCAGACUCCUACGGGAGGCAGCAGUAGGGAAUCUUCCGCAAUGGACGAAAGUCUGACGGAGCAACGCCGCGUGAGUGAUGAAGGUUUUCGGAUCGUAAAGCUCUGUUGUUAGGGAAGAACAAGUGCAAGAGUAACUGCUUGCACCUUGACGGUACCUAACCAGAAAGCCACGGCUAACUACGUGCCAGCAGCCGCGGUAAUACGUAGGUGGCAAGCGUUGUCCGGAAUUAUUGGGCGUAAAGGGCUCGCAGGCGGUUUCUUAAGUCUGAUGUGAAAGCCCCCGGCUCAACCGGGGAGGGUCAUUGGAAACUGGGAAACUUGAGUGCAGAAGAGGAGAGUGGAAUUCCACGUGUAGCGGUGAAAUGCGUAGAGAUGUGGAGGAACACCAGUGGCGAAGGCGACUCUCUGGUCUGUAACUGACGCUGAGGAGCGAAAGCGUG